rnacentral:rRNA from 1 species
UGAGUGCGAGCUGCUACGGCAGCGAAGUGGGUGACGUCAAGCUUCCAAGAAAAGCCCUAGACCCGUUAAGGCAUGAUUGCCUGUACCCGAAACCGACACAGGUGGGGUGGUAGAGAAUACCGAGGGGCGCGAGGUAACUCUCUCUAAGGAACUCGGCAAAAUGGCCCCGUAACUUCGGGAGAAGGGGUGCCAGCGAGAGCUGGUCGCAGUGAAGAGGCCCAGGCGACUGUUUACCAAAAACACAGGUCUCCGCUAAGUCGCAAGACGAUGUAUGGGGGCUGACGCCUGCCCAGUGCCGGAAGGUUAAGGAAGCUGGUCAGCGCAAGCGAAGCUGGCGACUGAAGCCCCGGUGAACGGCGGCCGUAACUAUAACGGUCCUAAGGUAGCGAAAUUCCUUGUCGGGUAAGUUCCGACCCGCACGAAAGGCGUAACGAUCUGGGCGCUGUCUCGGAGAGAGGCUCGGCGAAAUAGAAUUGUCUGUGAAGAUGCGGACUACGUGCACCCGGACAGAAAGACCCUAUGAAGCUUUACUGUAGCUUGGUAUUGUGCUCGGGCUCGGAAUGCGCAGGAUAGGUGGGAGGCAUUGAUCCAUUGCUUGCGGGUGAUGGUGAGCCACUGGUGAGAUACCACUCUUUUCGAGCUUAAGUUCUAACGGCCACCCGUUAUCCGGGGGCCGGACAGUAUCAGGUGGGCAGUUUGACUGGGGCGGUCGCCUCCUAAAAGGUAACGGAGGCGCGCAAAGGUCUGCUCAGGCUGGUUGGAAAUCAGCCGACGAGUGUAAAAGCAGAAGCAGGCUUGACUGUGAGACCUACAAGUCGAACAGGGAGGAAACUCGGCUUUAGUGAUCCGACGGUUCUGCGUGGAAGGGCCGUCGCUCAACGGAUAAAAGUUACUCUAGGAUAACAGGCUGAUCUCCCCCAAGAGUUCACAUCGACGGGGAGGUUUGGCACCUCGAUGUCGGCUCAUCGCAACCUGGGGCUGAAGUCGGUCCCAAGGGUUGGGCUGUUCGCCCAUUAAAGCGGUACGCGAGCUGGGUUCAGAACGUCGUGAGACAGUUCGGUCCAUAUCCGGUGCACGCGCAGGAAUAUUGAGAGGAUUUCUCCCUAGUACGAGAGGACCGGGAGGAACGCACCUCUGGUGUGCCAGUUAUCGUGCCAACGGUAAACGCUGGGUAGCCAUGUGCGGAGAGGAUAACCGCUGAAAGCAUCUAAGUGGGAAGCCCACCUCAAGAUGAGUAUUCCCAUGGCGUUAAGCCAGUAAGGUCACGGGAAGAACACCCGUUGAUAGGCUCUAUGUGGAAGCGCAGUAAUGCGUGAAGCAGAGGAGUACUAAUAGACCGAGGGCUUGACC